rnacentral:sRNA from 1 species
UAUUUGUUUGAUAAACCAAAAUACAAUUGCAAUCCCGUAAAAUAUUUAUUUUAAUUAUAUAUUUAAAUUAGCGGUGUACCGCGGUUUUUUUUUACGGGACGGAUUUGGCGAGACGGGUUUGGUAGGACGUUACUUAAUAACAAUUGUAAACUAUAAAAUAAAAAUAAAUAGAUUUAAUUUGCAAACUUUUAUAUAUACUAACUUAAAAAAUAAGUUGUCCCCGCGAUAUACCGCGGGUUAAAAUCUAGUUGGUAAUGUGUAAGUACAUAGAUUAUACGAUUUGGUUUGGAGAAAGACCGUAUACAACCAACAUAGUUAAUUAAGCUAU